rnacentral:rRNA from 1 species
AGUGAACGCUGGCGGUAGGCCUAACACAUGCAAGUCGAACGGCAGCACAGUAAGAGCUUGCUCUUACGGGUGGCGAGUGGCGGACGGGUGAGGAAUACAUCGGAAUCUACUUUUUCGUGGGGGAUAACGUAGGGAAACUUACGCUAAUACCGCAUACGACCUACGGGUGAAAGCAGGUGAUCUUCGGACCUUGCGCGAUUGAAUGAGCCGAUGUCGGAUUAGCUAGUUGGCGGGGUAAAGGCCCACCAAGGCGACGAUCCGUAGCUGGUCUGAGAGGAUGAUAAGCCACACUGGAACUGAGACACGGUCCAGACUCCUACGGGAGGCAGCAGUGGGGAAUAUUGGACAAUGGGCGCAAGCCUGAUCCAGCCAUACCGCGUGGGUGAAGAAGGCCUUCGGGUUGUAAAGCCCUUUUGUUGGGAAAGAAAAGCAGCAGGUUAAUACCCCGCUGUUCUGACGGUACCCAAAGAAUAAGCACCGGCUAACUUCGUG